rnacentral:lncRNA from 1 species
AGACAAUUAAUUAUAUAUUAUUUAUGGUAUUUUGUUGAUGGGACAAUAUAUUUAUUAUAGAAAAAGAUAGAAAAAAUAAGGCUUCAAGUCUAGGUAUGCCGGAUAUGCCGGGCAUACCCGUACAAUAUAAUAUAAAUAUUAUACACAUCUGUAUUUAUAUAAAAAAGAAAAAAUAUUCACUCGAUCACGUAUCACACAAGUGGCA